rnacentral:rRNA from 1 species
GCCCCAGUACCAGACACCGUAUCGCGUUUAAAGGCAUUCUUAGGCUUGGUCAAUUAUUAUGCCAAAUUCAUACCUAAUAUAAGUACCGUUUUACACCCGCUUUACGAGCUACUAAAAAAACAUAACAAGUUUUUGUGGUCUCGGGAAUGCAACGAAGCAUUCUAGAAAAUUAAACAAAUGUUAGCCGCAAAACCGAUGUUAAUGCAUUAUAAACCUGAUGCACCUCUAUGGCUCUAUUGUGACGCAUCUCCGUAUGGGUUGGGGGCGGCGCUGGUGCAGCGGGGCGAAGGGGGUGAUCUGCCAGUGGCGCACGCCUCGCGGGCGCUCAACCGCCCGAACGAAAUUAUGCACAAAUAUGUCGUGAGGGUCUUGCAAUCAUUUUUGGCGUUCAAAAAUUUCAUCACUACCUUUUUGGUAGACGGUUUACCUUAGUUACGGACUGUAAACCGUUAGCGCACAUUUUAAGCCAGCAUAAAAGUAUACCGCAAAUGGUAGCGGGACGAUUGCAGCGGUGGGCGGUAAUUUUAAGCGGGUACGACUACGAGAUAGCUUGCGUUAAAUCGGAACAAAACUGUUUAGCAGAUAAUUUGUCACGCCUGCCGUUAGACAUUACAAAAGACGAAAAAAAAGUAGGGAAUCAUGCGAAUUUUUGAAUUUUAUCGAUGACGGUAUAUCGAUUAAUCAUCGCGAUAUUGCAAAAGGCCCGGACACCGGAAGGAUUGACAGAUUAACAGCUCUUUCUUGAUUCGGUGGGUGGUGGUGCAUGGCCGUUCUUAGUUGGUGGAGCGAUUUGUCUGGUUAAUUCCGGUAACGAACGAGACUCUAGCCUGCUAAAUAGGCGUCGUCAUUUAGGUGCGCGCGGCCGUUCGCGGUCGCGCAACUCACUGGCGACGUAUUAAAAUUCUUCUUAGAGGGACCGACGGUUUCGAGCCGCAUGAGAUUGAGCAAUAACAGGUCUGUGAUGCCCUUAGAUGUCCUGGGCCGCACGCGCUCUACACUGAAGGAAUCAGCAUGUUCUCCUUGGCCUAGAGGCCCGGGCAACCCGUUGAAACUCCUUCGUGCUGGGGAUUGGGGUUUGCAAUUAUCCCCCAUAAACGAGGAAUUCCUAGUAAGCGCGAGUCAUAAGCUCGCGUUGAUUACGUCCCUGCCCUUUGUACACACCGCCCGUCGCUACUACCGAUUGAAUUAUUUAGUGAGGUCUUCGGACCGACACGCGGUGGCUUCACGGCCGUCGGCGUUGCUGGGAAGUUGACCAAACUUGAUCAUUUAGAGGAAGUAAAAGUCGUAACAAGGUUUCCGUAGGGGAACCUGCGGAAG